rnacentral:rRNA from 1 species
GCCGGCUGCCAUAUCACUCUGCAACUCACAAAUGGCAACACACUAAAGCUAAGCAGGUGUGAGCCUGGUCAGUACCUGGAUGGGAGACCUCUCGGGAAAAACUAAGGUUGUUACUGGAG